rnacentral:rRNA from 1 species
UUGACCUCGAAUCAGGUAGGAAUACCCGCUGAACUUAAGCAUAUCAAAAGCCGGAGGAA